GAGGCAUCCUAAUUUUCCUAAUGUUUCACCAUUAUAUAUCUCCUAAUGUUUCACCAUUAAUGCUCUGAUAUGUAUUCACGACAUUACCAUCCCAUUUCUCUUUUAGUAAGAGCUUUACUCAAGAAUGAAUGUUGGAAAAAGAAAAGAAUGAAUUUUAUUAGGUGUCUUUUUAAUGCCUUCACUGUUUACUAACAGAUUUCCUAAUAUUGACUAAUUUCUACAAUAAAACCAGUGUCAUUUUUUAUACUUGUAAUGUAAUGUGGGACUCUGAUAGUAAUUUACAUUUAUAUCAAUAUUUGAAAGUGACCAUUGUUGGUGCUACAUUUGCUAGAUUUUUAUCUGUGUUACCAUGGCCUCAAGAGAACUGGAAAACUUUUCAUGUGAAUUGGAACAACUUUAAUGGCAGAUCCUCUUGAAAGUGGGUAAAAAUUUACCUAUGAAAUAAUGUGGGCCUGGAGCAAUU
rnacentral:lncRNA from 1 species